rnacentral:rRNA from 1 species
UGUGAUGGUUGCCAAAGGUUCUCACGACGGGCUCAUGUGCCGGCUCAGGAGUUGAGGAUGAUCCCAAUCACUUGGCCCUUUGCGGUCUGGGGGCUUGAUAUGGUUGGGCCUUUUAAACGAUCCAAGGAUAAGAAGACCCACCUCUUGGUGGCAAUUGACAAAUUCACAAAGUGGGUGGAGGCUGAGCCAGUUAGCAAGUGCGAUGCAGCCACGGCGGUUCAAUUCAUGAAAAAGGUGAUUUUCCGCUUCGGCUUUCCGCACAGCAUCAUAACUGACAAUGGCACCAAUUUAUCCAAG